CAGCAGCCGCGGUAAUACGGAGGGGGCUAGCGUUGUUCGGAAUUACUGGGCGUAAAGCGCACGUAGGUGGCUGUGUAAGUCAGAGGUGAAAGCCCGGGGCUCAACCCCGGAAUAGCCUUUGAGACUGCAUAGCUUGAACACGGGAGAGGUGAGUGGAAUUCCGAGUGUAGAGGUGAAAUUCGUAGAUAUUCGGAAGAACACCAGUGGCGAAGGCGGCUCACUGGACCGUUGUUGACGUUGAGGCGCGAAAGCGUGGGGAGCAAACAGGAUUAGAUACCCGCGUAGUCCCUGUCUCUUAUAC
rnacentral:rRNA from 1 species